rnacentral:rRNA from 1 species
UACGUAGGGGGCAAGCGUUGUCCGGAUUUAUUGGGCGUAAAGAGCGUGUAGGCGGUUUGGUAGGUCCGCUGUGAAAACUCGAGGCUCAACCUCGAGACGCCGGUGGAAACCAUCAGACUAGAGUCCGGAAGAGGAGAGUGGAAUUCCUGGUGUAGCGGUGAAAUGCGCAGAUAUCAGGAGGAACACCGAUGGCGAAGGCAGCUCACUGGGACGGUACUGACGCUGAGACGCGAAAGCGUGGGGAGCAAACAGG